rnacentral:lncRNA from 1 species
CGCCCGUGGACGAGGAGUGUGUAUUGAAGAAUCAAAAGAUGCAUUCCUUUCAGCUCGUCUGUGGAUGAGGAGCACACGUUGGAGAAUCAGGAGAUGCAUUUCGCUCAGUUCGUCCGUAGAUGAGGAGUGCAUAUUGAAAAAAUUGAAAAAUGCAUUCUGCUCAGCUUGUCCAUGUACGAGGAGCAUGCAUUGGAGAAUUGAAAGAUGCAUUCAGCUCCACUCGUCCGUAGACGAGGGGCA